ACAGCAUGAAACAUCUAACCUUGUUUUACAAAAUGAUGUCUCUUGCAGGCUGAGAUUUACUUGGGCCGAUUUACUUGGUGCUGGGUGCUGAAACCUUCCCGGAGGCACAGAGACAAAAACACAGCUGAUGUGAGAGCAGCAGGGGCUCACUCCACAACUGUCCUGAAAUGCAGCCCCUCGUGCUGAGUGUUGUACAGAACAUGGACACAGAUGCUGCUGCUUCGUCCUUGGAGCCUUGGGGAAGCACUGGAGUGAGUGGCAGCCGAGGCAUUUCACACCUCAGUGAGCACAUCCUCCCCAGGAGACACGUCAAGCAGGAAUCCAGAUAAGUGCCCUGAUGUCAUUACAG
rnacentral:lncRNA from 1 species